GUAGGUGGCAAGCGUUGUCCGGAAUUAUUGGGCGUAAAGCGCGCGCAGGCGGGUCCUUUAAGUCUGAUGUGAAAGCCCACGGGCUCAACCGUGGAGGGUCAUUGGAAACUGGGGGACUUGAGUACAGAAGAGGAAAGCGGAAUUCCAAGUGUAGCGGUGAAAUGCGUAGAGAUUUGGAGGAACACCAGUGGCGAAGGCGGCUUUCUGGUCUGUAACUGACGCUGAGGCGCGAAAGCGUGGGGAGCAAACAGGAUUAGAUACCCUGGUAGUCCACGCCGUAAACGAUGAGUGCUAAGUGUUAGGGGUUUCCGCCCCUUAGUGCUGCAGCUAACGCAUUAAGCACUCCGCCUGGGGAGUACGGCCGCAAAGGCUG
rnacentral:rRNA from 1 species